rnacentral:rRNA from 1 species
AUACGUAGGGAGCGAGCGUUGUCCGGAAUUACUGGGUGUAAAGGGAGCGUAGGCGGGAUCGCAAGUCAGAUGUGAAAUACAUGGGCUUAACCCAUGAGCUGCAUUUGAAACUGCGGUUCUUGAGUGAAGUAGAGGUAAGCGGAAUUCCUGGUGUAGCGGUGAAAAGCGUAGAUAUCAGGAGGAACACCGGUGGCGAAGGCGGCUUACUGGGCUUUUACUGACGCUGAGGCUCGAAAGCGUGGGGAGCAAACAGGAUUAGAUACCCUGGUAGUCCACGCUGUAAACGAUGAUUACUAGGUGUGGGGGGACUGACCCCUUCCGUGCCGCAGUUAACACAAUAAGUAAUCCACCUGGGGAGUACGGCCGCAAGGUUGAAACUUAAAGGAAUUGACGGGG